AAUCCCUAAUUUUUCAUUCCCAUUUUUUUCUAAUUUUCCUCUAAUGCCCAACCAUCACAGUGAAGCCACCACCGUGCAGCCAUCACCACAACUGCAACAUCAAUCUGCCGUCGUUGAUUUUCGGUCACCAAUAUGUACGUCUUUCUUCUGCUUCGCACUCUGAAAACCCAAAUCAAUGUCGGCCUCCCUUGUUCCUGAGGCUAUUUUCUAUUUGGGGGGAAGCCGAAGCCAACGGUUAUCUUUCAAAUUACAUGUUCAAGAAAGAAAGAGAUUCAAAAAAAAAAAUUGAUCGAUAAUGAAACAGCACAAGGAUUUAACGCCGAAGCGAAGAAAAUCAAGCAAAAGGGAAACACCAACGGCGGACAAGGUAGUGACCGUACUUUCAUCGACGGAGAAAGAUACGAACUUAAAGAAACCGACGCGAAGGGGGAGAACAAGGACGAUCUGGUGGAUGAGAGUCAUUUGAGAUCUAUUUUUUGUUUGAAAAAGAUCGUCGUCAUGAAGCGCGUUAAGGAGACCGAUGAUUGCUUUAUUCUUGAUUUUAACCCUUUCAAUCCCGUUGACGUUGCCAAGCUCUCCGCCGCCAAUGACGGCGAUGUUGAUGAAGAACUCUCCGUGGUCGCCGAGCGUGGCCAGGAAACAUGCAACUUCAAAAACAGAGAAAAGUCCCAAAUUUGGCAUUUGAUUCCAGUUCAUGCCUUAAUGAUACUAGAGACCAGGAUCAUGUGCGCUGGUUUCUUUGUUUCCGUGAUUUUACAAUACGAUUUACAGUUAGAUACUCUGCAGCUUUAGAUUCUCCUGAGUAUUUAUUUAAUGCAAAAUAUAGUUCUGGUUGUCAUAGUUAAUGUUUGAUUUCGAUUGGAGAUCGUAGAAGAAAACAACUGGAACCCCAAUGAAGAAGUUAGCACGAGAGAUGUCAAAAGAAAAUGAAUCUACAAAACAAUUAUCAAGUGUUACAGCGAGAUUAAUGGGCCUUGAUGGGUUACCACCUCAACAGUAUGGCCACAAGCAGCAGAAACAGUCUGAGUAUUAGUCAAGGGAAAGUUCAAAAGGAUGGUUCAUUCUAUAGUCAGUAGUCUUCUAGGUAAAACUCGAAGGAGGAGCCAGAGUUUAAAGUCGUUUUUGAAGAUUUAGAUGCAUCUAAAAUUGAGAGUGGUUAUUACUCUUCACAAGGAACUGCAAACUCGAAGCUUUCUGAUGCUGAGGUUCCUUUAUCCAACAGAAGAUUAUAAAGGCUAAACGUCUUUCAAAUGAUGAAAAGCUGUUGGAUUCCGAGGAAUUCAAUUAUGCCCUUGUGGUGCUAAACUCAAACACGGAUCUUCUGCUGAAAUUCCUUGAGCAACCAGAUUUGGUGGCCUGCAGAGAUUAUCCACAUUCAAGGAAUCUUUAUCUGCAAUUUCCAUUUGAUACGACACCUCUAACAGACACUGUGAUUUGUGUUACUGUUAUGUUUGCGAUUCGGCUGCUCCAUGUGAGUGUUGGACAACAUAUUGCCAUACGGCAGAGCAUGCGGCGGACUGCGAUCACAAAGGCUUGUGAAGAUUCGGCCUAGAACGCUGUGAACAAACUCUCCGGAAAUCCAAUCUGAA